GGUCCCCCGGCCUAAAGGUAUGGCACCUGGUUAUGACUGAAUGUGAACAAACAUGCCAAGAAGUCACAGGAGGUCCUGAGUUCGAGUCUCGGGGGGAUCU